UACGUAGGGGGCAAGCGUUGUCCGGAAUCAUUGGGCGUAAAGAGCGUGUAGGCGGUUCGGUAAGUCGGCUGUGAAAGUCCAGGGCUCAACCCUGGGAUGCCGGUCGAUACUGCCGGACUAGAGUUCGGAAGAGGCGAGUGGAAUUCCCGGUGUAGCGGUGAAAUGCGCAGAUAUCAGGAGGAACACCGGUGGCGAAGGCGGCUCACUGGACCGGUACUGACGCUGAUGCGCGAAAGCGUGGGGAGCAAACGGG
rnacentral:rRNA from 1 species